rnacentral:tRNA from 1 species
UUAGGGCAUGGUGUAAUACGGUAGCACGAAGAUUUUUGAAUUCUUAGGAUUAGGUUCAAGUCCUAUAGCUCUAG